CCCAGAGUUGUGUAGUGGUUUAAACGCUGGACUAGGACUCUGGAAACCAGGGUUCAUAUCCCUGCUCAGGCA